UUACUGUUUAUGGUAGAUUGGUAUAAAUUUGAAAUGUUACUGUAGCCAGGUAACUUUUCUUUCUUUUCUCUCUCCUUCCCCCGUGCUCUCUCAGUCUCUCUCUUCUGCAACUCUCUCUUUCUCUCUUCUGCAACCUCCUCUUUCACCACCUCUAGACCACCAAAUGGCGAGCUGCGAGCAUCGAUAGACUCGUCUCUUCCUCCUUAUCACGCAUGUGGGAGUUGUUUACGACGAUUUGGCCGGAAAUGUGGAGAUCGAAGCCAACAUUUUUACUGUAGCAAAUUAGUCAACGCCGAUUUCCGGCCACCUCCAGUCAUAAACCCAGGUCCAUUAGAAGCGCCUUAAGCCGCUCUUCAUGCUCGCCAAGUCUCAUAACCCAGAUCGAAGCAUGGAGGAAGAAAGCAUAAUUGGAAAAUUUCACUGUACAUCGGAGUGCUUAAUUGUUCGGCUACUUCAAGGUGAUUGACGGUUUGAGUUGGUGGACGAUUGUGGAUCGUAUUUUGAGCUGAAUUGAAGACGCAGCGGGAUUAUCGAGCGGGUAAUCCUACAGGACAGGAGAACCAGGACGGUGAUCGUGCGGUUAGAGCAAUUGUUAGAGUUUUACGACAAUUGUAAGUUGUGAGGUGUGUUAUGCUCAUUUGAGCUUUAUAAUAUAUUGUGAGAGUGAAUUGUAAUAAUGAACUCGAAGUUUCGAGAUUUGGUUUUUUUGUAAUUGUAAUUAUUCAGGUUUCGGAUUUGAAUUUAUCAUUCAAAAUCCGGGGCGUGACAGUUUGGUAUCAGAGCGUAAGGUGCAUAUUUGGUGAUGUGUCAAUACCUUCCGAGUGAUGGCCCGUCUGCAGCGGAUCCCCAUCGUGUGCUCUUUGGUAUUGGCUAAGUCAUUGGGUAUGCGUGAGUGUUGGGAGUUGUUUAGGCCGCUAGGUCGUUUAGGGAACGUGAAUACAUUCCCUAUAGUAUUGACUUGGUUAAUAUGAAUUUGUAUUUGACUUAUACUGUGUUUUAAGUGUUAUACAAGUAUUAGCCAAGCAUACUAUACUCCUUAGGUGAUGGAUAUUCGAAGGGGUUGUACUUAGAACCUUACAGUUGUCUUGUAGGUUCGUAUGAGAAUAAGUUCAGUGGCCGCGAGUUACAAUCCUUGAGGAAUAGGAACCUCUUGAUUCAACUCUGUUAAGUCAACGAGGAUUGUUUUAUGGAAAUGAGGUUCUUUUGAUUGUUGAAGUGUUUGGUUGAAGGCAUGGUCUGGACCUAUGCUCGUCUGUAAUGUGGAUACGAGUAUUAAUCGAUGGUAAUUUUGCCUUUUUAAGUUGGAUAUACUAAUGUUCUUGAAUAGAUUCUUGACUCAUGUGGAGUUGUGAGUAGUGUUGCGGUUAGGGAAGGAAUUAUUGCGGUUACUUCUUCCUUGUGCUUGUAAGUUGUUAAGCAGGGUUUAAGGUGCGAGACAAGAAUUUUAUUUUGUGCUCGAUGGUUAGAGAGGAGAGACCAUUGUUUUGGGUUGUCGUUGAGUACUAUAAUUCCUUCAGAAUCAGGAUUGUUGGUAGAAUUGGAAUUAGUAGUAGUUUUGGUGAUUCUGAAUUUGAAUUGAGUUCGCGAGAUGUGUCUUAUAUACGUGGUUGAUGUUACUUGCAUCAUUUUGGAACGAUACGUUACGAUUCACAAGGAAAACUGGAUUUGAAAUUUAUUCAUUUGAACACCAUGGGUUGAUGACCUGACCGUGACUUGUGAAUAUAGUUUGUUCAAGUGAAUGAAAUUGAAUUUUGUGGCCUUUGUGUGGUGAACUAGUUUUCUUAAGUUUUGGAUCGUAGUAUGGAGAUGGGCUGCAGUGAAUGUGAAGUUGUUGUGUGUUUUAAGUUUAAGUAGGCGGGACACUUAAAGUUUUGCAAUGGAGUUGAUUUUGGUGUAAUUAAUUGGGAGAGUUAGAAUCAGUUCUUGUGAAUGAUGUUGGA